GUGCUUGCUUCAGCAGCACAUAUACUAAAAACCAGACCAAUACAGAGAAGAUUAACAUGGUCUCUGCACAAAGAUGACACGCAAAUUCGUGAAGCAUUCCAUACAAAA
ensembl:snRNA U6 U6 spliceosomal RNA